rfam:Culex pipiens quinquefasciatus supercont3.43 genomic scaffold, whole genome shotgun sequence.
GGUCCGGUGGUGUAGUGGUUAGCGUGGUAGCCUCUCACGCCAGUAAGGCCUGGGUUCAAUCCCAGACGGACCC